CAGUCGCCGCGGUAAUACGGAGGGUGCAAGCGUUAAUCGGAAUUACUGGGCGUAAAGCGUGCGUAGGUGGUGGUUUAAGUCCGUUGUGAAAGCCCUGGGCUCAACCUGGGAAUUGCAGUGGAUACUGGGUCACUAGAGUGUGGUAGAGGAUAGUGGAAUUUCCGGUGUAGCAGUGAAAUGCGUAGGGAUCGGAAGGAACAUCUGUGGCGAAGGCGACUAUCUGGGCCAACACUGACACUGAGGCACGAAAGCGUGGGGAGCAAACAGAAUUAGAUACCCCAGUAGUCCCUGUCUCUUAUAC
rnacentral:rRNA from 1 species